AUUGAACGCUGGCGGCAGGCCUAACACAUGCAAGUCGAACGAGUGGCGGACGGGUGAGUAAUGUCUGGGAAACUGCCUGAUGGAGGGGGAUAACUACUGGAAACGGUAGCUAAUACCGCAUACCAUCGGAUGUGCCCAGAUGGGAUUAGCUAGUGGGUGGGGUAAAGGCUCACCUAGGCGACGAUCCAUAGCUGGUCUGAGAGGAUGACCAGCCACACUGGAACUGAGACAAGGUCCAGACUCCUACGGGAGGCAGCAGUGGGGCAUGUUGCACAAUGGGCGAAAUCCUGAUGCAGACAUGCCGCGUGAAUGAAGAAGGCCUUCGGGUUGUAAAGUACUUUCAGCAGGGAAGCGUUACCCGAAGAAUAAGCACCGGCUAACUCCGUGCCAGCAGCCGCGGUAAUAC
rnacentral:rRNA from 1 species